rnacentral:tRNA from 1 species
UCUGUAGCCUAGUUGGUAAAGGCAGCACUCUAGUAUGUGUCUCAGCAUAACUGAGGUCGUGAGUUCGACUCUCACCAGA